CCGCCCGCCCCUGCCCACCUUCCAAGCGGGCACUGUGCACCCCCUGGUGGCAGCAUCUGGGAUUGCAAGUGGGUGCCGCCUGCGGACACCCCAGUCGGGGAGGCGCCCAAGGAGGAGGUGAAUUGCUUUCACACCAAGCUCUGAGCAUUGCCUCAAGACGCCAUACAGGCCGGGUGCGGUGGCUCACGCCUGUAAUCCCAGCACUUUGGGAGGCUGAGGCCCGCAGAUCACCUGAGCUUCAACAGCUGCAGGAGCACUUCCCUAUCAGGCCCAGAGGAGGCAGGGAGUGUGAGAAGAUACACCACGCACCUCGCGUUCAGCACUCCUGCCGAGGGGGCUUCCUGAGGGGUUCCAGAGGGGCCCACGUGUCCCUCCACCUCCUCCCUGGCCCAGGCUGCAGAGCCUGAGCUGGGACACGCCCUGAAGCUUCUGGACCCUGAGAGAGAUUGUUUCUUUUCUUUACUAUUUUUUUUUUUUUUUUUUUGAGACGGAGUCUCACUCUGUCGCCAGGCUGGCGCGAUCUUGGCUCACUGCAACCUCUGCCUCACGGGUUCAAGCGAUUUUCCUGCUUCAGCCUCCUGAGUAGCUGGGACUACAGGCACACGCCACCAUGCCCAGCUCAUUUUUGUAUUUUUAGUAGAGAUGGGGUUUCACCAUGUUGGCCAGGAUGGCCUCCAUCUCUUGACCUUGUGAUCCGCCCGACUCGGCCUCCCAAAAUGCUGGGAUUACAGGCGUGAGCCAUCAAGUCUGGCGAGAGAGAUUGUUUCUAGAUGAGGGUGGGGGCGGGUGUCCUUAGCCCAAAGCUUGUGCCAGUCUCUAUCGGAAAUAAAUGCCCCCAAAACCUC
rnacentral:lncRNA from 1 species